UCUAGUUUACUUUUAGUUGCAAACUUUGAGAGGGUAUGAUCAUAUGUAGCAGAGACCAAGAAUUACCAAAAGCUUAUGCUUCUAUAGUACCAAUACUGCCGUACCAUUUUUGUUAGGAUAAGUUUUAUUUUUGCUCCCCAAACUUUAGUAACUAUGUCAUCUUGCCCCUUAAACUUUAAAACAACAAAAAAACCCACCCCUGAACUUUAUCCUUACUAAAUUUAGGUGCACAUUGGCAUCAGUUGACAGUGUUUAACAGAAGGAGCAAAAGUAAUAAUAGUUUAAAGUUUGAAGGGCGUCUAGGCCAGUUUUUUAAAGUUCAGGAAGCAAAUUAUAGAACAACUAAAGUUCUGUGGUAAAAGUAAAAUUUAUCCUUUUUGUCAUCUGAACCCACUUCGGCAUCCAAAUGUACUGCUCUUUAUGGGAGCUGUGACUUCACCUCAACGUCUUUGCAAUAUUGUGACAGAGUACCAUCCACGUGCAGUGGAAGUUUGUUUCGCUUGCUACAUAACAGCACAAUAAAAUUAGAUUGGAGAAGGCGGGUUUAUAUGGCCCGGGAUAUUGCACGGGGUGUCGAUUAUCUUCAUCAUUGUAACCCACCCG